CCCAGGCCAAGCCUCAUUCUAAGUGUAGAC
rnacentral:piRNA from 1 species